GACGAACGCUGGCGGCGUGCUUAACACAUGCAAGUCGAACGAAAAGCGAUGGAAGCUUGCUUCUAUCAAUCUUAGUGGCGGACGGGUGAGUAACGCGUAACCAACCUGCCCUUCAGAGGGGGACAACAGUUGGAAACGACAGCUCAUACCGCAUACGCCCUAAUCUCGGCAUCGAGGAGAGAUGAACGGUGGCCUCUACAUGUAAGCUAUCACUGCAGGAGGGGAUUGCGGCUGAUUAGCUAGUGGGAGGGGUAGCGGCCCACCAAGGAGAUGAUGAGGAGCCGGUCUGAGAGGAUGAACGGCCACAUUGGGACUGAGACACGGCCCAGAGGCCUACGGGAGGCAGCAGGGGGGAAUCUUGCGCAAUGGGCGAAAGUCUGACGGAGCAACGCCGCGGGAGGGAUGACGGCCGUCGGGUUGGAAAGCUCUGUUAAUCGGGACGAAAGGCCUUCUUGCGAAUAGGGAGAAGGAUUGACGGUACCGGAAUAGAAAGCCACGGCUAACUACGUG
rnacentral:rRNA from 1 species